AGAGUUUGAUCCUGGCUCAGAACGAACGCUGGCGGCAUGCCUAACACAUGCAAGUCGAACGAACCCUUCGGGGUUAGUGGCGCACGGGUGCGUAACGCGUGGGAAUCUGCCCUUAGGUACGGAAUAACAGUGAGAAAUUACUGCUAAUACCGUAUGAUGUCUUCGGACCAAAGAUUUAUCGCCUAGGGAUGAGCCCGCGUAGGAUUAGCUAGUUGGUGAGGUAAAGGCUCACCAAGGCUACGAUCCUUAGCUGGUCUGAGAGGAUGAUCAGCCACACUGGGACUGAGACACGGCCCAGACUCCUACGGGAGGCAGCAGUGGGGAAUAUUGGACAAUGGGCGAAAGCCUGAUCCAGCAAUGCCGCGUGAGUGAAGAAGGCCUUCGGGUUGUAAAGCUCUUUUACCCGGGAAGAUAAUGACCGUACCGGGAGAAUAAGCCCCGGCUAACUCCGUGCCAGCAGCCGCGGUAAUACGGAGGGGGCUAGCGUUGUUCGGAAUCACUGGGCGUAAAGCGUGCGUAGGCGGCCAUUCAAGUCAGAGGUGAAAGCC
rnacentral:rRNA from 1 species